ACAGAUCGAAAGCUUGUAGGUAGGUCUUCAUUUUAACCACCCAUAUGUGGUAGCCUUCUCCAUUGAAGACUUGAGGUGCAGCUGGUGAAAAGCUUGAUGAAGCCAUGAAUUUGUAUAACAGAUCCCUUAAGAAAUAGGCUCUUGAUACCAAUUGUUGGAGCUAAGUGCAACAAAUAGCAAGGUUCAACAAAAAGCUUGCCGAGCAAGAAUCGAGACUUGCGGUAGAAACAAAGAAGAAAAAUGAAAUAAAUUUUAAGCAAAGCUAAAAUAGAGAGUAUAUGGAUGAAAUCUUGAUUGAAUUCAUUCAUAUUUUUUUAAAAUGGCAUAAAGCCUAUUUAUACAAGCUUACAACUUGACAACUUAGUUGGAAUACAACUAAGUUUCAUCAUUACAUCCACUUAAAAUAAAUCACCACCUACUACCACUAACAAACUUAGUUGGAAUACAACUAAG
rnacentral:lncRNA from 1 species